rnacentral:rRNA from 1 species
GAUGAACGCUAGCGGCAAGCCUAACACAUGCAAGUCGAACGGUAACUUUUGGUGCUUGCACCGAAAGACGAGUGGCGAACGGGUGCGUAACGCGUAUGCAAUCUGCCUUUUACUAGGGUAUAGCCCAGAGAAAUUUGGAUUAAUCCCCUAUAAUAUCAUUUAAUCGCAUGAUUUUAUGAUUAAAGCUUCGGCGGUAAAAGAUGAGCAUGCGUCCUAUUAGUUAGUAGGUGAGGUAACGGCUCACCUAGACUCCGAUAGGUAGGGGUCCUGAGAGGGAGAUCCCCCACACUGGUACUGAGACACGGACCAGACUCCUACGGGAGGCAGCAGUGGGGAAUUUUCCGCAAUGGGCGAAAGCCUGACGGAGCAACGCCGCGUGAGGGAUGAAGGCCUCUGGGCUGUAAACCUCUUUUAUCAAGGAAGAAGAUCUGACGGUACUUGAUGAAUAAGCCACGGCUAAUUCCGUGCCAAAAGG